UGGAGCACCUGAACAGAAACUUAAAUAAGAAGAAUGUUCCUUGGGCAUAGUGCAGUCAUCUUACAUGGCCUGUGUUUUUGUAGGAGGUUGGUGGAAAGGUCGAGGAGAAGUUCCCGAAAGAUGCAGACCUUAUUGUUGCAUGCCAGAGAGGAUUGAGUUGGACAGAUCAACAAAGGGCUGCUGCUGUCAAGGAAGGUUGGGGUUAUCUAUUAUUGUUCUCUGCUCGUCUGGUAAUCAUAGUGUUUUCCUUCCAUUUUUUUCCUGUAAAAUCAUCUGCAAAGUCCAGUUUUUAGAUUAGUAGGAUAUUAAUGUCUUUGUUUCCAGCACAGGUUGGAGUAUUUCUUGUUGCAGAUGCCUUGUUUAUUGGUGCUCAGCAAGUAGAUCGUGUAUUCAGGAUAUAAGAUCACAUUGAGUUGAGCUUGAAGGCAGUUGAUUGAUUCACCAGAGAGCAUGUUUUUUGCGUUCUUAGUGACAUAUGAGAUUGAAUGGUAUCCCAAUUUUUAAACCAAGAGUAGUUUAGAAUGCCAAGCACAUACCUCCAUAUCAUGUCUUUAAUGUUCAAUCCUGUUGUGUCUAGGCAUCGGUUUCUUCCUUGUAAGAUGAUGUAUAUGCUCUGAAUUGUGUGUCUCUAUAAUCAAUAUCCAAAAACAGUGCUCAAUGUCAUGGAUGGUGCUUCCUUUCUUUUUUGAAAUGUCAAGUCUAUCUGGUUCCAAGGCAAAGCAGAUCAGGCAUCUACUUGCUGCAUCGUAGACAUUCAUUUGUAUUAUGAUUGAUUGAAGCGCAAAGGUGACACAACUUAUAACUGAUUAUAGUGUCCAAGUUCCAGCAGCAAGGACUAAGGCAGGAGUUAAGUCGUACCCAAGUUCUGCUUUCUUUUUACAAGCAAACCACAAGUAGUACUUUUAUUCGGAAAGAAAAUUA